CUUGUCAGUGAAAGCCUUCGGCUCAACCGAAGAAGUGCAUUGGAAACUGGGAGACUUGAGUGCAGAAGAGGACAGUUGGAACUCCAUGCUGUAGCGGUGAAAUGCGUAGAUAUAUGGAAGAACACCAGUGGCGAAGGCGGCUGUCUGGUCUGCAACUGACGCUGAGGCUCGAAAGCAUGGGUAGCGAACAGGAUUAGAUACCCUGGUAGUCCAUGCCGUAAACGAUGAUUACUAAGUGUUGGAGGGUUUCCGCCCUUCAGUGCUGCAGCUAACGCAUUAAGUAAUCCGCCUGGGGAGUACGACCGCAAGGUUGAAACUCAAAAGAAUUGACGGGGGCCCGCACAAGCGGUGGAGCAUGUGGUUUAAUUCAAGCUACGCGAAGAACCUUACCAGGUCUUGACAUCUUCUGACAGUCUAAGAGAUUAAGGUUCCCUUCGGGGACAGAAUGACAGGUGGUGCAUGGUUGUCGUCAGCUCGUGUCGUGAGAUGUUGGGUUAAGUCCCGCAACGAGCGCAACCCUUAUUACUAGUUGCCAGCAUUAAGUUGGGCACUCUACUGAGACUGCCGGUGACAAACCGGAGGAAGGUGGGGACACGUCAAUCUCUGCCCCUUAUGACC
rnacentral:rRNA from 1 species